GACGAACCGUCCAAACGUUAUUCGGAAUCACUUGGCUUACAGAGUUCGUAGGCGGUCUGGAAAGUUGGGUGUGAAAUCCCUCGGCCUAACCGAGGAACUGCGCUUGAAACUACCAGACUCGAGGGAGAUAGAGGAAAGCGGAACUGAUGGUGGAGCGGUGAAAUGCGUUGAUAUCAUCAGGAACACCGGUGGCGAAGGCGGGUCUCUGGGCCGAUACUGACGCUGAGGAGCGAAAGCGUGGGGAGCAAACAGG
rnacentral:rRNA from 1 species